GUACUUGCUUUGGCAGCACAUAUACUAAAAUUGGAAUGAUACAAAGAUUAGCAUGGCCCCUAUGCAAGGUUGACAUACACAUUCAUGAAGCGUUCUAUACUUUU